rnacentral:lncRNA from 1 species
CGGCAUCGGAAUCCCUACCUUCCGGCGGAAUCUCCGUUGGAAUAUGGAAUUUUGAUGAUGCCAGAGUCUUCUAGAGGGGUAAAAUGUGAUUUUCUAAAAUGAUUUUACUGAUUUCAUGGUUUUAAAUGAAAAAGAAGGGAGUUUUGAAAAGAAAAGACUAAGGAGGUUUUUGCCAGGUUCGGCCGCCGAAAGUGAAGUUCGGCCGCCGAACAUGAGUUGGUUUUGGGAGCGC